rnacentral:rRNA from 1 species
UACGGGGGGGGCAAGCGUUGUUCGGAAUUACUGGGCGUAAAGGGCUCGUAGGCGGCCAACUAAGUCGGACGUGAAAGCCCUCGGCUUAACCGAGGAACUGCGUCCGAUACUGGAUGGCUUGAGGUUGGGAGAGGGAUGCGGAAUUCCAGGUGUAGCGGUGAAAUGCGUAGAUAUCUGGAGGAACACCAGAGGCGAAGGCGGCGAACUGGACAGUAACUGACACUCAACUGCGAAAGCGUGGGGAGCAAACAGG